rnacentral:rRNA from 1 species
UACAGAGGGUGCAAGCGUUGUUCGGAAUUAUUGGGCGUAAAGGGCGCGUAGGCGGGAUAGUAAGUUAGACGUUAAAUACCAAGGCUUAACCUUGGGACUGCAUCUAAUACUGCUAACCUAGAGUGUGGAAGAGGAAAAUGGAAUUCCUAGUGGAGGGGUGAAAUCUUUAGAUAUUAGGAGGAACACCGAAGGCGAAGGCAAUUUUCUGGGACACAACUGACGCUGAGGCGCGAAAGUGUGGGGAGCAAACAGG